rnacentral:rRNA from 1 species
GACGAACGCUGGCGGCGUGCUUAACACAUGCAAGUCGAACGGAAAGGCCCCCACUUUUUUGGUGGGGGUGCUCGAGUGGCGAACGGGUGAGUAACACGUGGGUGAUCUGCCCUGUACUUCGGGAUAAGCUUGGGAAACUGGGUCUAAUACCGGAUAGGACCAUGGUUUAGUGUCUCAUGGUGGAAAAAUUAUUGUUUUGGUGCAGGAUGAGCUCGCGGCCUAUCAGCUUGUUGGUGGGGUAAUGGCCUACCAAGGCGUCGACGGGUAGCCGGCCUGAGAGGGUGGACGGCCACAUUGGGACUGAGAUACGGCCCAGACUCCUACGGGAGGCAGCAGUGGGGAAUAUUGCACAAUGGGCGCAAGCCUGAUGCAGCGACGCCGCGUGGGGGAUGACGGCCUUCGGGUUGUAAACUCCUUUCGUUAGGGACGAAGCCGCACCUUUUUUGGGUGUGGUGACGGUACCUUUGUGAAGAAGCACCGGCUAACUACGUG